rnacentral:lncRNA from 1 species
CCAUAGUGGCGUCCAAAGGUUCAUCCGUGUCCGUUUUGGUCAUCAAAACUUCCAUCUCUUGAUAAUAGUCUUCCACAGAUUUGGUUCCUUGAAGCAAACGUCUUAGCUUUGGUGAAGGUCACGGUGAUAAUGGGUUGGCACGAAUCGUUUCCUCAUCAACAAGGUAAGCUCAUCCCAUGUCUCAAUCGGCCGCUCACCUGUUCUCCUCCUGUGGGUCAACACUUGAUCAUACCAGUUAAUAGCAUAGCCAGAGAAUUCAGUGGCCGCAAGCCUUACUUUUCUAAGUUCAGAAUAGUUUUGACAAUCAAAGACAUGCUCAAUUUUUCUUUCCCACUCUAGAAAAGCAUCAGGGUCGUUUUUACCAUCAAAAGGUGGAAUUUUCAAUUUCAAUCCGUUCAAACUAUCAUCAGUACGAUUGUUUCUAGCAAAUGGAUUGACAUCACCUGGGUUUCGAGUUCUAUGACCUCUUCUAGGCCGGUAAGCGGAUCUGACCUCGUCCUCUUGGGCGUCCUCAUCAGGAAACUCAUCAUCUGACCGGGUAUUCCUUCGCGGCUGAUUGGUUCUUGUCCUUGAUCUCGGAUGGGACUGACUUACUUGAAGUUCGUCAAGCCUUUGAUGGAUCUGCUCUAGACCUGUGUUUAUAAGGUUAGAAAAAGAAUCAUUCAAAGCUCGCAUCUGAAGAUUAGACAGUCCAGCAACUGAAUUUCCAGGACGGUUUUGUUCUUCAUGGCUACUCAUGGUUCCUGAAAUUUUCUUAAUCACAAAACGUUAGGAUUAAAACUCACACUCUCAAGUGUUUGUUCCUCACCCACACACGUGUUUCUCUCGAUUUAAAAGUGAUCACUCAAGUUUCCACUCAAAGUUCUAUGAAGAACAGAUCUCGGAAUCUGGAUGGCCAAACUUAAGCAAAACACACGGGAACUUUAAAGAUAGAAAGAUAAGAGAUUUGUUUUUGAAAGAAUCCGUUUUAACCUCCUCAAAGGCUGGAUUUCUCCUCAGCCAGCAGGCUUCCUCUUCCACCACCAAUCCACAAAGUAAACUCUUUCUUUCUUUUUUUUUUUUAUAUAAUAUGGAUCUUGCUUGUUUCUUUUUUUUUUUUUUUUUUUUUUAUAAGUGGAUGGUAUUGAGGGGCCCGGAUUCAAGAUAGACAGAUGAAGAAGUGUUUAGAAGAAAAUGGAAGAUGAGAAGAUGGAUCGAGAUAGAUAAUACCAGAAGAGUGGCUCUGAUACCACUUGAAGGACCCUAAGAUCGGAUUGCCCUCGACUGGAUUCGUUUGGAUAUGAACUCCGGAAAGGAGAACUGAUGAAACGUUGGGUCGCACAAGGGUUGCGGAUGUUCCCUUGAUAUUCCCGACUUCAAUGGCGCUUGAUAUGACUCACAAGUCCGCCAAGGAAGAUCUCGAACUGGUUGCUUGAUAUGACUCACAAGACCAACUAGUUGAGAAGUGAAUUGCUCGGAUAUGACUCACCAAGACAAUCGAAAACAAGUUCUAAAGAGAACAGAGAGUUUAAACUCAGAAACUUAAUCCAAAAUGAUCUGAUUUAUUAAUGAAAUGAAACACUUAUUUAUAGUACAAGUAGGAGACAAAGGGGCUACUUGACUAGAAGUUUGAAAGACAAAUAAAAUUAAAGACUUUUGACUAGAAUUUUGAAAGACAAAGAAGAAAGACUCUUCAAUUUGCGGACUGGUCAAAGUGACCCUUCGGCUGGUUGAACCGCGGCCAGGAGCAGGACGGUCGCGGGCCGGUCCGUCUGUUCCUCUUGUCCGUCUCCUGACCAUCUUCGACCAUAAUCGUCCCAAGUCUUCUGAAAGAUGAAGAAUCUGUGCCUUAGAGAGAUUCGGAUGAUCAAAGUGCAUGAACUGAUCAAAUGGAUCGAUCAGUUCGUCAAUACGGUCGGUACGUUCCAAACGUGCGAGAAGAGAGAAGUCGCGUCCAGUUCCUAGUUCGGCUCGGCCUAAGUUGCUUCUGGUUGACCGUCAGUCUGAGAUUGGCGAGUUGUCCGAGAGAGAGACC